GAUGGGGCUUGUUCGGGCUCUGAUCAGAAUGCACGUGCUCCGGGGAAAUAUCAUGUUGGCUUAGUUGAAGCUUUAUUGCGAAAUAUGAGACAAAAAGUUUAUACUGUAAUAUCUGAGUCACAUUAUUUUAAAAUAGCUUAUAUACAGUACCUUCUCUAUGCUAGCAGAAAAACAAUUUUCAGCUGGCAAACAACUGAAGAAAAUCCUUUAUAAAACUUACAUUAAUGAAGGGAUCCACCUAGGGAUGGGUACCGAAACCCGGUAUUAAAUUGGCCCCAGGGCUAAAUUAUGAAAGUGUAUCGAUAAGCUCUGACGUUAACGGUUCUGCUAUCGGUAGGCUACUGGAGAAAUUAUGAAGAAAAUACAUUCAUUUAUUAUUGCUAUAUAGACAUUAUCUUAUAAUUCUAUCUCGCCAGAGUCGCCAGCUGUGUCUGUAUGCAACAAUAUUAGGACAUUUGUCUAUGAUGCAUGUUUGCUUUCGCAAUCAGAUCGCGCUCACGUGCUCAGGAGCUACAGCACGCGCAGUCGCUCACAACAUAAAAGCCCUGUUUGGAGAACUAAACAACUAAACGUCUGCUACUUUAGGUAGCUUUACACUUUAGGCCUGUGAUAUUAAGGCUUCCAAGGAUCAGAAAAAGAUAUCUGAGGCACAUUGGAAUGUCAGGUAUGUCUCUCUGUGGCACACCCACCACACCCAGAGACCAGAGAAAGGCACAAGCCAGGGCAAGCAGGUGAAGCUUUAUCUCCAGUGCGUGAGAGGCUGUGGUGUCUGUUUCUCGCUUUCUCCCCCACCCCCGUCUUACAUCUGCCAGGCCGCUCUCUGUGGCUGGAGUCGGACUGGGAAAAUUCCCAUGAGUGCAACAAGGACGGAGGAAGUAGGAGGUUGAUUUCAGGACAGCCAACUGCAGGUCUCAGUGACUGUUGGAGGUCGCAACUGCUCAGUCACUAAGGAGCAGCAAUAAGCAGCUGGUACAUUGCUGACAUCGUCUUUGUUUUUCCCUAAUCUCAAGCAACACAUCUGAGUUCCACUUGCUCCAAGCUCACAUUAGCCUCAUGUACCUCAAUCUGCAGUGAGUAAAGCCUCCAUCCACCCGUGACCAUCCAGAACACAAGGCAGUGAAGGCGGACCUCCCAGAAAGCCAAAAUCAGCAGCAGCGAGCCUGCGGGCCACAGACCCCCACAGAGAAGCAAAACUACCAGACUCAGAAUCCUGUCUACCAGAGCAAACCCAGAAUAUGGCUUUUCCACUUGAAUCCAUUACUUAUUAUUUUGUCCCAUUUGUAUUUGACAUUGAUAGAGGGUAACCAGUGGUUUGUGUGAAUGUAAUACAGUGAUGCCAGGAAUGUUAGAAUGUGAAUGGUUAAUAUAAUUUGUGCAGGAAGACUGAGCCAAACACUUGGUUGUAGCUUCCAUUCAUGGACAUUUUAUUGCAUUACAGCUAAUCUUGGCAAUAUUAACCAACAGGACUAUGAGCCAUUCAUACAAUCUGUCCUGUUUUAAAUAGUUUUUCUAUGUAGGCAGAUGUGUUUGACUGUUACAGUGCUAUUUUUUCAGCGUCACACAACAUAAGCACCAUUUUAAAAAAUGCCAUAGAUUAAAAACUGUUUAGUGACUUUUAGUCUGUGUUAAGGUGUUUUCACCAGUGUUGGGGAAUGUUACUUUUAAAAGUAAUACAUUACAACAUUUUGUUGCUGCCUAAAAAAAGUAACUUCCUGUAGUUGUGUUACUUAGUUACUUUUAAUGGAAAGUAAUGCAUUACAUUACUUUUGCUUUACAUUUUUUCAUCUGAGCUGGGCGUGCUUGUUUCUUUUUUAAUAUAGUAAAUAAAUAAAAAGUUCAGUCCCACUUUAUAUUAAGUGGCCUUAACUACUAUGUACUUACAUUUAAAUUAAUCAUUUGA